UACAGAGGGGGCAAGCGUUAUUCGGAAUUAUUGGGCGUAAAGGGCGCGUAGGCGGCCUGGCAAGUGACGGGUGAAAGCCCUCGGCUUAACCGAGGAACUGCCUGUCAGACUGUUAGGCUUGAGACCGGGAGAGGUGAGUGGAAUUCCCAGUGUAGCGGUGAAAUGCGUAGAUAUUGGGAGGAACACCAGUGGCGAAGGCGGCUCACUGGACCGGUACUGACGCUGAGGAGCGAAAGUGUGGGGAGCGAACAGG
rnacentral:rRNA from 1 species